GUGGAGGGUUGUGAUGCCUGAGGCCCUGGUGGUGCAGACAGGAGGCCAUGCGGGGAGCUCACCCACCUUCUAUCGUCUUCUCUCUUGGGGGUCCCGACCCCGUCUUGCUUUUGCUCUCCCCCAGGCAGCGACAGUGCCAAGAGCUCUGGUGUGUCCCUCAUCAAGGACCCUAGAGUGUGAGACAGCUGCCUUGUGGGGACUGAGGGACACAAGAUUUGUUCACGUCCCACUUUGUGACUUCAGAUCCCCUGCCUCCUGUUUCUGCAGCUGCAUCUGAAUGUGUCUGUGUCCCUAUGAGCAUCCUGAGAGGAGGUGGGGACCCUGGCCCAGCCCUGCCCCCCACGUCCCCUCCUCACCCUGACCUGUGUUCUCUUUCCCGAUCCACCGUCCUUCUCCUGCAGGUGGGGGCGAGGAGGAGGGGUGGCCGGCUCGGGACCAUCUCCAUCCUUAUCUUAACUUCACUGCCCUGAGUAAUGACUUCUUAUUUUCUGAUUGGAAAUAAAAUCUCUAUUGAAUUUGCUUUUUCUAAUCGGAGGCAGGAGGAGUUGAGGGGAUGAUAAAUGAGAUUUCCUAAGCUUGUGAGAGGAAGUAAAUGGAAGGACUGAGAACCUUCCAGAAUCCA